rnacentral:rRNA from 1 species
CCUACGGGCGGCAGCAGUGGGGAAUAUUGGACAAUGGGGGCAACCCUGAUCCAGCCAUGCCGCGUGUGUGAAGAAGGCCCUCGGGUUGUAAAGCACUUUCAGUGAGGAAGAACGCCUGGUGGUUAAUACCCAUCAGGAAAGACAUCACUCACAGAAGAAGCACCGGCUAACUCCGUGCCAGCAGCCGCGGUAAUACGGAGGGUGCGAGCGUUAAUCGGAAUUACUGGGCGUAAAGCGCGCGUAGGUGGCUUGAUAAGCCGGUUGUGAAAGCCCCGGGCUCAACCUGGGAACGGCAUCCGGAACUGUCAAGCUAGAGUGCAGGAGAGGAAGGUAGAAUUACUGGUGUAGCGGUGAAAUGCGUAGAGAUCGGGAGGAAUACCCGUGGCGAAGGCGGCCUUCUGGACUGACACUGACACUGAGGUGCGAAAGCGUGGGUAGCAAACAGGAUUAGAUACCCCUGUAGUC